UACAGAGGUCUCAAGCGUUGUUCGGAAUCACUGGGCGUAAAGGGUGCGUAGGCCGCACGGUAAGUCAGAGGUGAAAUCCCGGAGCUCAACUUCGGAAUUGCCUCCGAUACUGCCGUGCUUGAGGACUGGAGAGGAGAUUGGAAUUCACAGUGGAGCAGCGAAAUGCGUAGAUAUUGUGAGGAACACUAGUGGCGAAGGCGAAUCUCUGGACAGUUCCUGACGCUGAGGCACGAAGGCCAGGGGAGCAAACGGG
rnacentral:rRNA from 1 species